AUACCUUUCUCGGCCUUUUGGCUAAGAUCAAGUGUAGUAUCUGUUCUUAUCAGUUUAAUAUCUGAUAUGUGAGUCAUUGACUCACACGAUAUUAAAUUUAUUUCUUUUAGGGGGAAGGUUUGUUAAAGUAGCUUGCUACUUGAGCCUUCGUGUGUCGCCCAUGUGUUGCACUAUUGCACGGGCCUGGCACUCCCCAC